rnacentral:misc_RNA from 1 species
AAAGAAUUAUGAAAUUUCUCCUUCAAAGAAUCAUGGAAUUUCUUCAUCCUUUUUAGUAAGAAUGUGAUCAUAGAGAUGAAUAUGCUUAUCAGUUAGAAAUAAACUCAAUUACAAUAAUUUUACUACAUUAUAUAAAUAUUAAACAGAGAAUAACAAUAGUAAAUUAACACCAGUUAGAGGCAAAGUUCCCUCCUACAACAACAAAUAACUCAACACCAUAUUUGAUAUUGCUUUUUUUUUUUUUUGGAACUUGAUAUUGCUAUUUAAAAUAUAUAUUAUUGAGCUAGAAAGUCUUCGCUCGCACUUCACCCAAUGAGCUUAGGAGAAACAGUUAACUGCAUGCAUCUACACUUCAAUCUUCAUUCUGUCACCACACCAGCUGAAGGCCGCCACACCAGCUUAAGAAGAUGUUAGUUGCUCUAUAGAAUCUGCGGUUUACUCCUAAAUCAUGAGCCUUGCUAACUAUGAUAAUCAUCACCUAAGCUGCUCUCUCUUUUAUCAUCACCUCUGAAAGUGCCAUCAGCUACAUGCUUGAAUAGGUCUUGUUGUGUGAGAAAAGGCUGCUGGUGCGUGCCUGAUAUGAGUUUCAUAAUUGGGUAUAGGCAACACUGUUUCAAAAGCUUCAACAAGUAGUGCCACCUUCCUCUUCCUAGCUGGAGCAAGUUUGGUGACAGCUUGUCGGAGUGCAUAAUCAAGCAUCCAUUCCUCAGCAUUUUUCCUGUCAUCCAUGAUCUGAUGCCUGAGAUCAACCUUCUCUGCCUCUGGGUCAGGAACAAGAGGAAGGAAAUUUGGUUCCCUUGGGUUGAAUUUCCGCUCUUCCUCUAAGUCCAUGAUGGGUUUCUUGCAUUUGAUCAUCCAUUUCCCAUUGUUAAAGGCACAGGCAUGUACUUGGCUGGAAUUGCUUCCUUUGUGAAGGAAUUUGCUCCUUGACCCUGCACUAAUUCCAUCAGCGGCUGCAAAGAUUGUUUCUGCUGUAUCUAACUGAUUGCAAACUUCCACCUCCAUCUUCUCAACUUGUCCUGUGUGGAAUCUGGCUGAACUGAUUUGAAAUAUGCUUGAAUCAAUCUGCUCCUCAGAAUUAUUGGAAGUUUGGACUUUGAAUUUGUUAGCCCCACCUUGAUAUUCCCCCAAUAAGUUCUGGUUAUCAUUCUGGCCAUCCUUAGCUAGAAUGUGUUGACCGAGAAGCUGUUCACUUGAACUGCUGUCUUCGGCAGUUAUCUGGUUGUGGUUGUCAUUGUCCUCAGUGUCAUCUUGAUCAGCUUCAGAGGAACUCUGAGAUGAAUCAGAAAUUUGUAUACUCAUGGACAAUUCGUCAUUGGAAACUUGCUUUUCUUCUAUACUGGAAGCAAUGAUGGCCAUAUUUUGAUCACUUUCCAUCUCCCUGGACAUCUGGACUUCAUUUGUUUCAGCAUUGCCCAUCUCAUCAAAACUCUGAGAAUAAACAAUUUGACCUUGAAGCAACUCAAUUUUGUCUUCAGCUUGAAGCGAUUUAUCUUCUUGGUAACCAUUCAAAGCUUCGGUUGUUAUGCUGCUAUUGCAAUCUUUUUCAGCAUCCCUAAGCCGAGGAUUCUUUUCAAAGAUACCAUGCUCUGUUUCAUAAACUCCAUCCUCCUGAUUAUUCUCAUCAACUGCUGUUGAUUCCACAAUUGGCUCCUCCACUGAAGCUGAAGCAGUCACAGCACCAGUCGAAUCUUUCUCAGCAUCUUCACUCUUCUCUUCCACUGCUGUUGGUUCCUCAAAUGCAUAUUCAAUGGAAGAAACUUGUUCGUCAUAAGUUAAAUCACCAUCUGCUCGGGUAUCUUCAUGGAUCUCCCAAGUCUGCAGUGUACCUUCACUUUCGGAAUCACUAUCAAUCCAAUGUGUGUCAAAGGAGGCAGGUUCUUCUUCUAGGAGUUCUUUCAAUACCUCAUCAGCUAGAAUCUCCUCAGUGCAGUUGCUAACUGUGUCAUCUGAUCUAAUGUUCUCAGGUUCUUCAGUCAAAUUAAACUUCUUGAUGUCUGACAGGCAAUCAUCCCUGAUACAAGAUUCUUUGUCAGACUUGUCCAAAUAAUGAACUUCUGCAUCAAACCCUGAUGUGGAAAAUUGCUCCUCCUCCCACUCCAUUUCGCUAGCAUUAGAAAUGCUGUCAUCUUCCUCCAUGCUUGCAUGGACCUCUUCAAUGUGACUCUCGUUGUCACGCCUUUCUGUUCUUCCUUCUUCUUGGAACAAAAUGGGUGGGUAUUCUGCAUCCACAUCUUCUGCUUUUUGUUCUUCAAUAACGUCCUCUGUCAUCCAAAUCUCAGCCGGAUAGCUAUAAUUUUUCUGUCCAUAGUUUUCCUCGAAAUCAGUCUCCAGGUGUGGUGAUGCAUCCAACAGGUUCCCAUCAACUUGCUCCAUGUUCUCUUGUUCAGCUGCUGCUUCUUCGCCACCAUGGAAAAAGCACUCGCUGUCCCCUUUGUUGGGUUCUCCAGCAAAACCGAUGUUGCUCUCAUCAUCCUCCACUGUGUGCUUUUCAGUUGCUUCAGGGCCAACUGCUGUAUUUUUGGCAUAGAUUUCAACAAAGAAAUCCACAUCCACUUCUUUUACCACUGGAAUUGUUGCUGAGUCAAUUGAAUCUGCUUCCUUAUGUGGUGGUUUGUCAUCAGAGAAAAUUAGUAGUUGACUUCUAAUUUCUUCUGUUCCAUCACCAAACGUCUUAGCUCUGCGUGGGGAUAAAGCCUCCAAUUUUGCACUCUUUUGGACCUUGAGUGAACGCCUUCUUGCCUUCAAGAAGCACUUCAAUGGAGGCAAAGGACUGUGAUGAUGACCGUUAAGAGAGCAGUAGGUGUACGGACAGACCUUCAGGACUGAAGUUCCUUCUGCCUCGUUACCCCCAGGAUUGAGCAUGAGAUAAGCAGGAAACUUCGAGUCCUUCAGAGUUGAAGAACAGGUGGCUUUCUGUGAAUCCAUAUCUGCACAUAGAGCUACCCUGGAACAUUUUUUUGCAGCACUUCUCACUGGCUUAAAACUGGGAGACUUUGUUAAAGUUCUCACCAGCUUCAAACUAGAUGACCUGGUUAAUGUUCCCGUUGGUCUACUACUUGAAGCAGAGCUAAGUUUUGAAUUACUUGAAUUUCUUCGACGCAGGUUCUUACAAUCCCUAGCUGUUGUAGUAUUCAAGGAACUCACCUGAGAACGCUCCUUUCUUGCCUCAGAACUGGUAGUAGCCUUCAUGUAAUUUGGUGAUCCACCAGUUGUUCUGAUCAUAGGCUGCUGCAUCUGUGGGGUUGCUGCAGUGGUUGAAGCAUUGAGAGUUGGUGGCUUUCCAGGCUGGGACAUGGUUUUCCUCAAAGGUGAUGAAUCCAAGCUCUCAAUAUCUGAAAGCUUGAUUGAUCUUGACCUUUUCAUUUUCUUCUUCAUAUCGGGUCCUCUGUUCUUGCCAUCCUGGUGCUGGCAAGAGGUUGGUUUGAGGUUCCCCAGCAGCUUCUCGGAUUUAACAUGAUCAGCUUGGAUUCCAAGCUUGCUGGGUACCUUUCUUUGUACCAUCUUCAAAGAAAAUCAAGAAACAUGGAUCAAAGCCGAAGGUUAAAGGUAUAGGUUUUGUCACCUUGGAGAUGGAGGUAUGAAGCCAUGGAAGAAAAGCAGUUUCCUUGCGGUUUGUGUUGGGAUGAAAAAAGAAAAACAAGAAGAAUAGGAUAAUGGAAAAGCUUAUCAAAAACUUGAAAAACAAACAAGUUGAGAUUCUUCUUGGUUUAUUUUAUUUUGUCUUUCAGUGGGUGGCCCUUUGGUUAACUUUAAACAGCGAUUGAGCAUAUCAAAUUUGAAUAAGGCUGGGAUAGGAGUUUGAUGCUGACUUCGUUCACAGGUGGUUUAGGUCCAUUUGUUUAGGCAUUUUCUGAACUGAAUUGUUAAGUGUGUGUCAUAGUAAUGCUACACAUGGCGCUGACUGAAUUUUUUAUGCCUUCCCAAACGCUGUAAAGAAUUGAAUUGGAUGUUAGUUAUCGGAUUGCAAUAUCUUUU